CUCUACUCCAGGAUUGAUUAGCCUCCUUUAUUUUCCUGCUUCCUGGCUCAAUGGUGAGAAAACCAGAUAUCUUGAUGCUUUCCAGUUGGUAGGAAGGCAUCUCCUCUCAGGCGCAUUAUUGCUGUCAAAUGGUGAUUUUCUUAAAACCUUUUCCCUUCUUCCUCAACUCCACACACUCAUGGCCUUCUGGUCAUUCUUUGAAUAUUUUAUCCCACUCUCAGCAUCUUCACAUUCAUAGAGCUCUUUGUCUCAUCUCUCCAGGAAUGCCUUUUUUCAGGAUUUUCAGAAGACUUGGUUCUUCACACCACUCUUUAUUAGAGACCUGUAGUCUCCCAUUCUUUUCACUUUCUGUCUCUUGGCCAUGUCUGUUUACUUUCACAGCCCAGACAUUAUUUUCUGUAAUUAUUUGUUCAUUUGUUUACUUGUUUACUGUCUUCUCCACAUGAGUGUGUAAGAUUCAUAAGAACACUUUGCUUUGCUUUCUGCCUCUUCUCUGGUAUCUACAUUAGUGAUAGUAUGCUUGCUGAAUGAAAACAAGGAUACAUUUUCAAAAAUAUUACAAAUGUAUGUGUUUUCUAUCUUUUCCAGUGUCCUCCCACCACCAAUCCUUGACUCUACAAUUGAGGAGUUGUCAAUGGAAACACUGGUAAGACCCUUUUGUUUCCUUCCCCAUGGCAUCAGACCACCGUGUGGAAUGAGAAGAUAUUUUUUGGCCCUAGGAAUUUUUUUUUCAUUUUGUUUCUUUAUUCAUGAUCUCUUGCUAAAUUCCUUGAAAUAUGUGGCAGCAUGACCCUUUCUUACUUUCCAGUCCUAAGGCAGG
rnacentral:lncRNA from 1 species